UACGAAGGGGGCUAGCGUUGCUCGGAAUCACUGGGCGUAAAGCGCACGUAGGCGGAUUGUUAAGUCAGGGGUGAAAUCCUAGAGCUCAACUCCAGAACUGCCUUUGAUACUGGCGAUCUCGAGUCCGGGAGAGGUGAGUGGAACUGCGAGUGUAGAGGUGAAAUUCGUAGAUAUUCGCAAGAACACCAGUGGCGAAGGCGGCUCACUGGCCCGGUACUGACGCUGAGGUGCGAAAGCGUGGGGAGCAAACAGG
rnacentral:rRNA from 1 species